rnacentral:lncRNA from 1 species
GUUUGGAAAGACUAGAAAAGGAAAAUUUCUCAGACCAUGCAGUGGACGUGAUGUUUUCUAUUCUUAAUAUAAGCACAUUGUUACGGAAGGGUACUGACCAAAGGAAUAGAGUUUGAGAAGCGCAGCGGAAGUCCCCUAAGUGAAGCUUGAAGAACUGGAAGAAGGUAAGUUGAGCUUCCCUCUGAGAUGUUAGCUGGCCCCUGGGAAGCUGCCUUAUUUGCAGACUGCUGG